rnacentral:rRNA from 1 species
UACGGAGGGUGCAAGCGUUAAUCGGAAUUACUGGGCGUAAAGCGUGCGUAGGCGGCUUGUUAAGUCAGAUGUGAAAGCCCCGGGCUCAACCUGGGAACUGCAUUUGAUACUGGCAAGCUAGAGUUUGUAAGAGGGAAGUGGAAUUUCUAGUGUAGCGGUGAAAUGCGUAGAUAUUAGAAGGAACACCAGUGGCGAAGGCGGCUUCCUGGUACAAAACUGACGCUGAGGUACGAAAGCGUGGGGAGCAAACAGG